UGCUGUUGCAGCUUUCCCUCUAGUAGCAAUGUGGGGUGAGGGGUGAAUUUAAGGCAACCGUCCACUAAUUAUAACAAAUUUAUAAUUUUCCAUGUAUGGAAUCUAAUUAUUGGGGAGCCAUCUUAAAUUCAAAGUAGUCUUGGUUUCAGAUAAAUAUGGUAGUUUUAGUGAUAUAAUAAAUCAACCGUGUCAGUCCUUCUUCAUAUGUGGUCCUUUAUUGCAUAUUUGAAUUAAGGCCCCAUUAUGCUAGGACUGUGCAUACAUACCUCAAAAAAUGUAUGUUCUUAGUUCUUAGAGUAAGAUGGACAAAAC